AGGGUGUAAACGCUGCAGACUUGGUGUUGGGAACCCUUCGGGGGUGUCCAGUGCCGGAGAGAAGUUGUUAAGUCUGCUACUUGGGGAGUACGUCCGCAAGGAUGAAACUUAAAGGAAUUGGCGGGGGAGCACCGCAACGGGAGGAGCGUGCGGUUUAAUUGGAUUCAACACCGGAAAACUCACCAGUGAAGACUGUUACAUGAAAGCCGAGAUGAAGACUCUGCUAGAUUUCAGAGAGGUGGUGCAUGGCGUAGACGUGU
rnacentral:rRNA from 1 species